rnacentral:rRNA from 1 species
CUAGCGACUUCAGAGUUUGAUCCUGGCUCAGGACGAACGCUGGCGGCGUUCUUAACACAUGCAAGUCGAACGGAGUUAAGUAGCUUGCUACUUAACUUAGUGGCGAACGGGUGAGUAACGCGUGAGGAACCUGCCUUUCAGUGGGGGACAACAGUUGGAAACGACUGCUAAUACCGCAUGACACUAUAGUACCGCAUGGUACAUUAGUCAAAGAUUUAUUGCUGAAAGAUGGCCUCGCGUCUGAUUAGCUAGUUGGUGGGGUAACGGCCCACCAAGGCGACGAUCAGUAGCCGGACUGAGAGGUUGACCGGCCACAUUGGGACUGAGAUACGGCCCAG